GUCACAGCCAGGCACAGACGGAAGCAGACCAUAAAAGAUGCCUGUCCUGAGCCUGGUAAAAUUGAGCCCACGCUCUUCAAAAAAGAUGAGUUAGCCCCAAAUUCCAUAUCAUCCUGGUCCUACAGGACUCAGGAAUCUUCCCACCUUGCCCCUGCUUGUACCCAACAUCUAUGCCUGGUUUAAUGUGUGCAGAACCUUCAGGAGGUGCUGGUACAAGACCUAUCAACUACAGCAGCCACGUCAGCAGGGGACAGUGCGACGGGCAGCCCCGACAGCGAUGAAACUGGCUGGCAGAAGAGCAACCCAGUGGGUACACAGACACAGGCCAAAUCAGACCAGGGAAGGAGACUCUUCUCAGCACUGCAAACUGGUGCCCACAUUCUCAAAGAAAGGUGGUGCUGGUACCAGACCUACGCAAUGCAGCGGCCACCUCAGCUGUGGAUAGUGAGACGGGCAGCCCCAGACAGCAACAAAACUGGCUGGCUGACGAGGAACCCAGUGAGCAGAGCUAUGCUUGGGAGUGCAGUAAAGGGUAACGAAGGAUGCAGCUGCUCCUUUGUUGCUUCCCCUCUGCCUUGCAGGUGGGCAUUCAGGCACAGACGGAACCAGAAAAGGAAAGAUGACCGUUCUCAGCACUGCAAAGUGGUGACCACACUGAAAGACAGGUCAGCCCUAGAGAACGAGAAAACUGGCUGUGUGACGAGCAACCGUGUGUGCAGAGCCAUGCUGGGGUGGGCAGGGGAGGGCUACAGGGCAGCCCUAGGAAGCGACAGAACUGGCUGGCUGAGGAGCAACCCAGUGAGCAGGGCCAUGAUGGUAGGUCCUGGGAGGGCAGGCAGCUCAAAGUUGUCCACAGAGACAGGCAGCUGCACUCCAGUCAUCUUAUCUGAUUGCAAUUUUUUACAGCAUUUAAAACAAAAUAAAUAACCCCCAAAAUCAAGUUUCUGAUUCAUGAAACCUUUUCUACUUCUCUCUUGUGCCAUUCUUAAAUGGGAAUCUUUCAGUGUGUUUUCCUUAUUUUCCUUUUUUUUUGUUGUCC
rnacentral:lncRNA from 1 species